rnacentral:rRNA from 1 species
GACAGAGGGUGCAAACGUUGUUCGGAAUUACUGGGCGUAAAGCGUGCGUAGACGGUUGCGUAAGUCAGAUGUGAAAGCCCCGGGCUCAACCUGGGAAUUGCAUUUGAGACUGCGUAGCUAGGGUGCGGAAGAGGGAAGCGGAAUUUCCGGUGUAGCGGUGAAAUGCGUAGAUAUCGGAAGGAACACCAGUGGCGAAAGCGGCUUCCUGGUCCAGCACCGACGUUCAGGCACGAAGGUCAGGGGAGCAAACGGG